GAGGCACACGUUAAAGAUUGUUCCGCGUUGUGAGUCUAACAUCGGUUGYAUAAACUUUUUACAACCGGUAGCGCUGGAUCCCUUGGCACGUCAUUCGAUGAAGACCGUUGCAAAUUGCGAUAAAGUGAUGUGAUGCGCAAGUCCACCACUUAUACGUGAAUCAUCGAGUUGUUGAACGCAUUGCACCGCGCCCUAAUCCGGCUGCGGUAUGCCCCUUUGAGCGUCAUUGUAUCCCUUCGGGAGUCCUUUUACAAGGACCCGAGCUCGGAGUCCUCGGUCCUCUCUGGAUCGUGUUCUCUCAGAUGCCUCGCGCCGAUCGCCUGAUGGGUCCUCUAAUGCCUAAGCGUGGAGUUCCUUCAGUCCGAGACGCGCUUGACCGGGUCYUGAGCCUGCGUCAUCAAGUCUGCCUAACCRGCGGUACUACAACGCAUGACCUCAUUGGGGUAGGACAACCCGCUAGACUUAAGCAUAUUAAUCAGCGGAGGAAAAGAAACUAACCAGGAUUCCCUCAGAACUG
rnacentral:rRNA from 1 species